UGAAAGACAACGAUGGGGAAAGUAAGCACGGCGUAUUUCCAAGCGACCCGGGGAAGGUGCGAGCCCGGGAAAGAAGCCCUGCCGAAAGCCACCCUGGAGUCGCCCUCUGAAGCUUGCAGCCGUAGGAGUUGGCCGGUGAUCCGCCGUUAUAGGACCGAGUGGACUUCGUAUGUAGUGGAGUCAACGAGGGUGGUACCGCGUGAGCAACAGCUCUCGUCCCUUUU
rnacentral:ncRNA from 1 species